UUCAGAGUAUAAGGCCGACUCAAGAAUUUGAGGGUCAAAACAAGUCUAUCAAAUCUAGAGUACGUUCGACCUUGAUGAUAUGAGAUACUUUUGCUGUUGACGGAAUAAUGAAUGUGGUAUGGAAAGGUGUCGUGCUGUAGUGAUCUAUUUCAGCUCACCGUUGAACCUUCUGCUUCAAUCUUUUGCAUGGCAGAAGUGGUGUGCAACCUUUGCAUUUAAAUGGUCUUUCAGAACAUUCCUUCAUAGUGACUCAUCCACGCUUGGCAGCUUCAGUGUAAAGAGCCAAUAUCUGAUCAACUGUCAUGAGGUAUGUGCCGGUGGAUGUCAUGACCUUGACAGCAGUUGAGGAUGAGUUCUCGAGAGC
rnacentral:lncRNA from 1 species